UCGGGAUGGGGCUAAGACAUGCUAGUUUUGCGUCUUCAAGCUAUGAUAAAGACGCGGCGUACAGCUCAGUAACACGUGGCUAACCUGCCCUUGAGACAAGUAUAACCCCGGGAAACUGGGGAUAAUCCUUGAUAGAUAAGGAAUUCUGGAAUGGAUCUUUGUCUAAAGGACGUGUAGAUCAUGCUUCUUCAUGUCGCUCAAGGAUGGGGCCGCGGCCGAUCAGGUUGUUGGUGAGGUAACGGCUCACAAAGCCUAUAACCGGUACGGGCCGUGAAAGCGGAAGCCCGGAGAUGGGCACUGAGACAAGGGCCCAGGCCCUACGGGGCGCAGCAGUCGCGAAAACUCCGCAAUACGCGAAAGCGUGACGGGGCUAUCCCGAGUGCUAUUCGUUGAGAGUAGCUUUUCCUCAGUGUAAAGAGCUGUGGGAAUAAGGAGGGGGCAAGACUGGUGUCAGCCGCCGCGGUAAUACCAGCUCUCCGAGUAGUAGGGACGCUUAUUGGGCCUAAAGCAUCCGUAGCUUGCUGAGUAUGUCCUCCGUUAAAUUCACCGAUUUAAUCGAUGGGCUGCGGGGGAAACUGCUUAGCUAGGAGGCGGGAGAGGCCGACGGUAUUUCCGGGGUAGGGGUGAAAUCCUAUAAUCCCGGGACGACCACCAGUGGCGAAGGCUGUCGGCUAGAACGCGCUCGACGGUGAGGGAUGAAAGCUGGGGGAGCGAACCGGAUUAGAUACCCGGGUAGUCCCAGCUGUAAACGAUGCAGGCUAGGUGUUGGUGUGGCUACGAGCCGCUCCAGUGCCGCAGGGAAGCCGUUAAGCCUGCCGCCUGGGAAGUACGGCCGCAAGGCUGAAACUUAAAGGAAUUGGCGGGGGAGCACCACAAGGGGUGAAGCUUGCGGUUUAAUUGGAUUCAACGCCGGGAA
rnacentral:rRNA from 1 species